CUGGCCACAAGCCCACUUACACCCCUAAAAAUAAAGUGUCCCUCUUCGUCCAUUGUGAAGUUGGGAGGCAAUUUUACACGUUUUCUAUAACCAUCAGCUCUGUGAGGUUAAAUGUAAUAGUUCCAAGUUUAGAUUGACUUGAAGUUUCAUAUUUAUCUAAGAAUUUUCACGACCCAAUAUUAAUGUAAUUGUAUUGUAUUGUAUUCCUAUUGCUUCAGCCCCUUCUAUAAUU